GUAGAGUUUGAUUCUGGGUCAGAUUGAACGCUGGCGGCAGGCUUAACACAUGCAAGUCGAGCGGUAACAGAACGUAGCUUGCUAUUUUGCUGACGAGCGGCGGACGGGUGAGUAAUGCCUAGGAAUCUGCCUAGUAGUGGGGGAUAACUUGCCGAAAGGUAAGCUAAUACCGCAUACGUCCUACGGGAGAAAGGAGGGGACUCUUCGGAGCCUUUCGCUAUUAGAUGAGCCUAGGACGGAUUAGUUAGUUGGUGAGGUAAUGGCUCACCAAGACCGCGAUCCGUAACUGGUCUGAGAGGAUGAUCAGUCACACUGGAACUGAGACACGGUCCAGACUCCUACGGGAGGCAGCAGUGGGGAAUAUUGGACAAUGGGGGAAACCCUGAUCCAGCCAUGCCGCGUGUGUGAAGAAGGUCUUAGGAUGUAAGCACUUUAGUUGGGAGGA
rnacentral:rRNA from 1 species